rnacentral:lncRNA from 1 species
UUCAUUCAUUAAUCUCAAAGAUUAUAUACGUUCAUUUACAUCCCUAGUAUAAUAUAAAUAAAACGACCAAUUUGUCGAUAUUGGUCAUUUGCCUCGUCUAAAAUGUUGAGCACAUGUUGCCCAUAUGCUUCCGUUGGGUAGACCUCUCUUAUGAGGAUUUUCACCUUAUGAGCCAUCUUUCUUGUUGUGAAAACAACCUUAGUGAUUUGUUUUGCAAGAUGCUCCACUUUGGCUUGUUUCUUCAAAAAAUUUUGUCACCACACCUCACUUGUAUUCUAUAUUGUUACGUAUGCUUAAAGUGAACGACAUUCUUUCUUGAAUGAAUCAUACUCCCUUUAAAGUACUCUAAUGGUCUGCUUGAAUUGCUCACGAUCUCCUUGGAGUACUUGGAUAGCUCUUCAUUGAUUGUGUAACUUAUGUCCCAAACUAUGAACAAAAGGUUGGAAAACAUCCUUCUAUU